AAAGAAGUGGCUUCCAUCACCUUUGUCAUCAUCUAUCGGUUAGAAGCAAGUCACAGGUCUUGCCCACACUCAGUGAGAGGGAUUACAUGAAUGUGUGACCACCAGGAGAUGGUAACAAUUGGGGUCAUGAGGGGAUAUGACUGCUACAAUCUCCCAUCAUCAAAAACAAAAACAGGAAUCUAUCAAAGCAAGAGCACCAGUGAAGAAUCUAUUUGGCUGAUAUGGACCCUGUUCUUGCUGGUUAAUGAUGAGCAUCACUGUUCAGCUAGAACACUUGCAUGAUCAUUACAUGGAUGACUCCCUGUGGAAAUGGGAAAGGAAUAAGGAAUACAUAUUUGGAAUGAAGAACAGUUUACAAACACUUGUUUGUUGGUACUAAUUUACAGAGAAUAGUGCAGGAGUUAGCUUUAUUUUUUCUUUAUUAAUAUUAUGUAUGUAUAACUUUAUAUAUGUUAUAUGUGUAUCUUACAUAUACAUUUCUAGAGACCUUAGGAAUAGAAAUCUGAAGAGCUGAGUUGCAAACCCCUUAUUUUCAAGGGUCGAACACUUCAGGUAGUUGGUGAAUAAUUUAUUACAAAGAAUCUCUACUUAGAAUUGUAACGUGUGUGUAUAUAUAUUAUAUGUAAUUAUACAUAUGUAAUAUAUACAUACAAAAAGACAGAGAGACAGAGAGAGACAGAGAAUUUACGCACCAACCAACACAAAUACAUAUGGAAUAAUAGAACAUAUGUUAAUAUCCCUAAAAUUCAGUAUGUAUGAGGCCAGAAGAGAGCGUUCAUAAAAUAUAAAGGAUCAACAUUAUGUAUACGAUGUUUUCUCACUGCAGUGAAUUAAAAUUAGAUACCAUUAGCAAAAGAAUGGAUUAUAACAAAAUAAUGGAUUCUACAUUGAGAUCUUUGUCGUCAACCAUUCUCUCAUUACUUCUGUCUCAACAAGUGAAGCUCUAGGUACAGAAUGUUCUACAAGUUAGCGUUUCCAAAAUUUCAGGAAACACACAAUCUGUGUCUUACAUAAGUUGUUUCAGAACACAUAAAAGGACUAAAAACUGCCUAACUCCUUUUAUGAGACUACUGUGAUAUUUUUAAAGUUAAGCAUCACAGAAAAAAAAAAGAAAAUGCAACCGUCAGCCAACUCAUAGCUGAAGCAGGGACACUGUGCAGCUCUUGGCGCUUGUUCUUAAUAUGUGUUCAGAGGGCUAAUACUCUGUCAAGCAGGGAGGAUGAUAGCCAGAGCAAACAGCCACGGUCCUCACGGUGGAAAAUAACGUUGCCAGAAAAUUCCGCACAUCUGGAAAGAACAGCAAUGAACAGGAACUUGUGCAUUCGUGCUAGGCUCCUACUGGGCCCGCUUCGUUUCAUUUCCUCCAUUUUUAUGACACUUUCCUAUGCUGCUACUCCAGACAUUCCAUCAAACACCUCGCCACGAACAAAUUGAAAGGGAAGGAAAUCUAAAGAAAGUCUGACUGAAUUUCUGAGUGUCUCAUCACCAGAAUGACCAGGAAAACCUGCCAAGAGUGUAGAUUCAGGCCCCUAAUCCCACUUCUCUGCAGUCUCCUCUUGGUCUCUGUGUAUAAGCUCUCCUGCCUUUUUGCACCUCUAAUCCAUUGUCAGACAAACUGGCCUACUUGUGUUUGCCUCUGAGAGCCUGUCCACUUCCUCACGUUAGGAGAAAGAACACAAAGAAUCCUAGCUUUGAUUCAGUUUUCCAUACUUCAGCCAUCAGUCUACCAUCAAGCACAUUUUUUACUGGACAAAUGAAAAGUCAUUGCUUUCAUUUUUUAUUUUUAUUUUUAUUUUUUUAGACUGAAUCUCACUCUGUCACCCAGGCUGGAGUGCAGUGGCGCAAUCUCGGCUCACUACAACCUCUGCCUCCCAGGUUCAAGCAAUUCUCCUGCCUCAGCAUCCCAAGUGGCUGGGAUUGCAGGUGCCCACCACCAUGUCCAGCUAAUUUUUUUGUAUUUUGAGUAGAGAUGGGGUUUCACCAUGUUGACUAGGCUGGUUUUGAACUCCUGACCUCAAAUGAUCCACCCACCUCAGCCUCCCAAAGUACUAGGAUAAUAGGUGUGAGCCAUGGCACCCCGCCAAUAUUUUUGUUUCUAAUAAAACAAGAACUAGUAGUGCACUCCGUCUAGAGCAAGAUAGUGUGCUGGGGACAGGGAGCAAGUAGGUAGGGGAUAAAUAGGUCAAGAACUGAGUUCACAAUUGAGGCUUUAAGCUUGAUAAGAAAUAAAGCAAGUUUGAAUCAUCUGGGUCCCUGGGGAAGCAUUUGUUUAGAAAAAGAUCAAUAGUAAAUAAAAAUACCACGCACCUA